rnacentral:rRNA from 1 species
UGGUGGAGCGAUUCGUCUGGUUGAUUCCGUUAACGAGCGAGACCGACAUUGUUUACUAGCGGGGCUAUGGGGCUGAUGGUGAAGUCUUUUGGUGGCGUGCCCUCGGGCGUGCGAUGACUGGGCGAAUCCGUGUCAACAUGGUCACGCUUCUUAACAAGACAACUGGCAAAAAGACCAGAGGAGGUUGUCGGCGAUAACA